GCCUGCGUGGUCUAGUGGUUCAGGACGUCGCUCUGCUACUGGAGGCUGGUAGCUUCUCUGCGCCGCUGGCCGGCCAGAGAAGCGCUCCUCUAGCGAGUAGCGAAGGCACCGGUUCGAAUCCGGGAGCGGGCA
rfam:Magnaporthe poae ATCC 64411 unplaced genomic scaffold supercont1.2, whole genome shotgun sequence.